UUUUUUUUUUUCCCUCCCUUUUUUUCUGUGUGUGUGUGUGUGUGUGUGUGUGUUCAUUACCUGUAAAGGGUCUUCAAGAAAAAAUAAUUUCUUUCCUGCUUCUAUGACAAGAAUGCCUAUGAAGUUUAAAAUGGUACUCUGUCAAUUAAAAUGACUACCAUUACAGGAAGAAAGGCUAACAUUUUCUACCUCAUUAAACAAAUUCAAAGGAGAGUAAGGAGGUCUUAAUAGACGCAAACAUUCACUUGUACUAAAUCCAAUUCUUUUAAAGGUCAUCUGCAGCUCUGUCACUAUAGUAAGUAUUUUGUUUUCACUUCUUUUAUUUUUAACUUUCUGUUCUAAUCUGCAACACUCCUCCUGUGAACUGACCUAUUUACUUUGCUACAGUUUUGCUUUUUGGAUGCAUUUAGAUGCAGCUAGCAGAGCACUCUGGUCAGACUUCUAUGCUCAAAUCCUAACAUUUCUGCUACAGUAUUCUCAAAAUGUUUUUUAUUGCAUGUACAAGUGCAGAUAACACUAUAAACUCAAGUGAGCUUUAACGAUGGCAGGAGUAUUUACACUAGCCUUACACUAUCAUCACAAGCUAUUAAAGGCACAGACAGUGCUGGCUGCUCCAAUUAUUACAAUAAAAGGCUGGUUCAAAGGAACUCGUUUUCUGCUGACAGAAGCUCCAUCCCCAGAAAAACAAUCUGUGAUAGAAUCUUUAAAAGGUAAUUCUGAUGGGUGGGUCUUCAUUGAUCUGAACUCUUAUGUCAUGGAUUUUCUUUAUUCUAUGUUUCGUCUUUUUUUAAAAAUAUGUUUGAGUAAGUUUGGAAAAGUUGUCCCUCGUGUGUACGUACAACAGUUGUGUGUAGAAAUGUGCUUUGGACUACAUGCAGCUGUUUUCAUUACAGGCAUUGCUGCUUUUGUGAUUCUGUGGUACUGCUGUAGAAUCUAUACUGUUUAUGCAGCUGUAGUUAUGUAGGCAUAACUGCACCAAAAGGAAAAAUCCAGUGUGUGGCUGUACCUUUAAUUGGUAUGGUUACUUUUCUGCUGUCAGGACUGGUGUGGCUGAAGUCAUGCAACUAUGUUUAAACAAAGGGGAUGGGAGACCAGUGUCAUGCUGAACUGGCAAGCUGUGUGGUUAAUAACUGAUUUCAGCUUUUAUGGUCCAGUACUAAAGGUUGUAUUUAUUAAUAGCUCCACGUUUUUCCUCCCACAUGUUGUGGCCAAAUACUGGAUAUUAGCAAGAAGUGGAACACACUAAACUAACAAACAGUAUUACUUCCCCUCCAUUGUUUCUAGCAACCUCCCCUCUGUAAGAAAUCUCUACUCUCCUCCUACUUUUGCCAUUAACAGCAAUUGGAUGGUUUUCUUUCAGAAACUUAACGUGGCCCCGUUUUGAACUUACAUAAACUUCUGGCAUGCACAUUUUUAAGUGCUAUGACUUGCAGGAAAAAAUGGUAAUAAAACCACUUAUGUUCUUUUCACUUAACCUUGGUAACUUAUCUUAAUUUUCUCUAAUUUUAAAGUUUAAUAGGCAACUGGGAACAGCUGCAUUCUGGGCACAUUCCCUCUGUCAACCAUGAUUGUACAGACAUCUGUGUAUCUACUGCCCUCUCUUUUCUAGGCCAAACAGUCCAACUGUGCCUGAUACGAAAGACCUUUCAUUGCUGCAGUCACUCCUGCUGCCCUCCCAUUUCUCCUGGUUCUGCUGUACUUGCAAGGGCCGGCCAGGUAGAGAAAAUACUGUCUGCCUCAAGUUUUACGUGGUGUUUCUUGCUCUUUUUCCUAAUAAUUACCAACAGUGUUUUGGCCAUUACUGAGAAAUCAACUUCUGUUCUUAAUCUUAUUAUUCAGUGUUAAACCCGGGUUCAGAGGUCAAUACUGUAAUGUUUCCAAAUUUUACCUCUCCCUUGAAAGUGUGAAUUUGAUCAACAAUAAUGUCACCUGCCACUGUGUUAUCGACAUGCAUGUCAUUCUUAUGUCAUCAUCUACUAAUUAAAAACCAACACUGAUCAAACUGCUCAUUUCCUUCAAUAACUUGUCUUAUUUUUACCAGUGGUACACAUCUGUUGUUUCCUUUCAUUAGAUUUAACAAUAAUUUGGUUUGCUUUAUUUUUCCCCCUUACCAUUCAGCCUGUUAUUAAAUUAACAAAUGACUCUUUUGUCUUCAGUCAUUUAUUUUAGGGUCUACUGUGGAGUGGCCCAGUGAUGUUAACCAGAUUUCCACGUUUCAUGUUGAGUGAGACAAGAAAAUGACUGUGCACAGUUUUUGAAAGCUAUUUGCUGCAGAAAGAAAGAAAAAACAAUCACUGAACGAAGACAUCAAUGCUUCCAGGAACUGGAACUUCACAGCUCUUCUCUGCCAACUCUCAUGCCUCCAGUAACAUUCUAUCAGCAGGUGCUGUUUGUGACAUCAGCCCCUCUCUACCAUUUUGCCAUAUUGGACCAUGCAGGAAAAUAUGUGGUUUUAAGAAACAUUAUUUGAGGGAUUGGAAGUCUGUGUACUCACCCACUUUGAGGCACUUCCACUCUUUGUUUGGACUAUUCACCUGAGACUUGAUGGAAAUAACGACAUUUCAGAAGCAAAGAGAGUCAGCGCUAAAUAAUGCGUUGUUCAAUGCUUACUGAAGGAAGACAACAGCACACGGUUUGACUGAAUUUGAAAGAAAAAGAUGAUGACUUUGGAUGUUGUCUGAGUCCACUGUCAGACAGCUGGUAACAUACAGUGUUUGGGAACUGUCAUAGCAUAUUACUUCCUGUUGCUACCCUGUUAUUCCAAAGCAGUCUCACAGCAGAUACCCACCAGCUAAAAAGCUGACUGUGUUAAUGAAGAGAGCUGAACUAAAAUGAUGGCUCUGAAGAUGCUGUGAAAGUCUGCAUGUGUCAGGCUGUGCAAUUCAGAACCUUCAGUCUGACUAAUCCCACCUCCAGCAUCUUCCUAGCAGCAACAGCAGCAAUCCCUGUCCAUGGUGCUUACUGAGUGAAUGAAAAAGCUGUUUGAGGAGAUAAACAGCCAGCAAGAAAACCAACCUUAACAACUGCACACCUGUUUCCACUGGCACACAGGAACAGACAUUUCCACACAGCAAAGUUGAAGCAAACAGCAAAGCAACUAGUGUGUGUAACUCUGUGUUCGCAUGCUUAAGACAUAAGCACUUCAUAUGCUAAGGACUGUAUUCUUUUUAACUGUGGAAGAGCUAGAAGCUGUGAGCUAACAUAUAGCAAAAAUAGCAUAAGUAAAGGAAGAAAAAAAAAUCAUAACAGAUACUGAUUUUUGUAAUCUGUCGUGUGUAAAUAAGCCAG